AUAACGAAAUAGACUCUGUGGUCUCUCUUGCGUCUCCACGUUGGAGGCUUCGCCGAGCCAGUCGCCUUCACCAGUGAAGUGACAAAAUACGAACCGUAAAGCCCUCUUCGCUUCCUUUUUCUUCCCUCUUUCUAAAUCUAAGCUCAGUUUACACAAAACACUUCUCAAACGACGAAGAUCUCAAGAACAAGAUUUGUAUUGCUUCAAAGAGAGACUAAAUAGUAAUACAAAAUUUUGGGGGGUUUAUUUCUGAAAAACUCCUUGGUUUCUUAUGAGCUCUCUCCUUUGUUUUUGUUUUUUUUAACAAAAAUCCUCAAGUCCUUUUAGAGACUUUCAUGGACGUUUUUCUUUCCAACGAAGGAAAGUGUCUUCUUUCCUUCAUUUGGAGGCAACCCCUGAUUCUUUACUUCGAGGGUGGGUUUCCUGAUGUGAACACAAACUUUGCUUAAUCUGGAGGCCAUCUUAGAUGUUGCUGAUGUGGAGAGGCGUACGUGGUUGCAUAAAUGGAAGAAUGGUGUGUGUCCCCUUUUGCCAAUGUGGUCUGUGUUGAUUAGCCAAAAGCAACUGGUAAGAAAACCCUUCCCUUAAUUGUUGAUGUGGUCGGUCGAGGUGGCUGUGGGAGAUCACCCAGGCGCAUGCGGUCUACCUAGAUCUAAUCUACCACAUGAGUAAAAAGGUUGGAGAGCCUUACGUGUAUCACACAUGCAUGAUAUGCUCUCUUUCCUUCCCUCUAGGUCGUUGUAUAUAGAUCUAGAUUCAACGGUUGGUCUUCGCAAGCGGCGAUGACUGAUUCGUUUACUAGGUUUUGAAUUAGUUUAGAUAGUAGGCUGCUAUAGUUUAUUAUUGGGCCAAUUAGGUCAAUUUUGUUAGGCUGAGUUGAAAAUUGUAACAAAGACUUUUAAUUUGGAUUGUAACGUGGACUUGGGUCUUUUAUAUAUUUGAA